GUCUAAGUUUAGUUCUUCCGAGAAUCGAUCUUCCUCCCAUUUGUUUCAAUGAAGUUUACGCGUCCAGGAAUUAAGACGAGGAAACUAUAUCGUGUUAACGCUAGAAAUUCCAUAAUUUACACUUUUUGCUAUUCUUCGUGGCUCUAGUGUAGUAUCCAGGUUGAAAAAUAUUCGACUAGAAUGACGCCUUUUGUCGUUCGUUGUCGAAAAUUGAUAAAAUGUUGCGUCAAGUGUACAAAUUUACGCGGAACAGGACCAAUAGUGAUAAACAAGUUUUAACGAUCCGUUUGGGCCAUUGAAGUAUUCCAAACGAAACUUUUCGUUCUUCGAAAACAGGACACGGUUCUCGCUGGUCGCCAUUGCAAAUCGUAAUCAUUUCAACGGAUUUCCUUGAUAGCCACUCUACAGAACAUCACAGGGUUGCAGCAAAUAAUUUCAACAAAUCAAAAUUAAUUUCAACAAACAUCACCAGUCGUGUUUCGCGAUUAUGGCGACACAGGAAAAUCGCAACGAUGCGCACUGUUAUUGGCAAAACCGGAAAUUGCAAAGUAUUUCGCGAGCGGACCUACGAGUUAAAUUACUUCAUUCUAGAGUUUGCUUCGUUUCAAUUCUGUGCUUCACGUAUAAAAAUGAGAAAUACCACUUAUUACAUAAGAGACAGAAUACAAAUGAAAAUCGAACAUUGUAAAAUUAAGUGGCUUAACAUAAAUCUAACUUGAAACGUCUUAAAACGUCUUGAAACUUUUAAUUCGAUAAUGUUGAAAACAGAGCAACUAUUUAAUAUUUCGAAAAAUAAAUCAUAGGUCAAAUAUAGUAAUAUAUUUAUAUUGGACCUAUAAAUUUUUAUAAUAUUGAUAAAAUAAUUUCAAGAUAACUAACAUAGUACAGUAUAAUAAAUAAUUUUUAAGAUAAUUUUCUAAACAGCCAAGUGGACACGUAAUAAUUUUCACCUUAACGUUAAUGUUGGAUGAAGACUUGGCUGAGAGCUUGGCUGUGAAUAUAGGUAGAGAUAUACACUCACUACUAUAUAUAUAUAUAAAUAAACAAUAUAUAAAUAACAAAUAGAUAAGCGUUAAUAUAUAACAAGACACCUGAACGAUAGUGUACACAGGCGUAGGUACGAUCCAUCGUGGGAUUAUGUCAUCGAUAACGAUAUUCGAGUAACCGCCGCCAAUUAUCCGCCAUCCAACUGAUGUUGCGCGAUGCACGCUUUAAGAAAAGAUGAUAAUACAUGUCUGGAAUAUAUUAUUUAGCCCGUAACGAUUUCUCCUCGCUGUAUACGUAUACGUUUGAUAAAUGUCGCUUCCUGGAUGGAUCCACGGUAACGGUACAAGGAAAAUAAAGAGUCCCUAUCGUCUCUUCUUCUUACGAAGUCUCCGGUCAACUGCAAGUUUAUAAAUUGUUUUGUCCCGUGGUUUCUUCCGUUUUUUAACAGUGUUUGCAACUUUUACGUUGUCUCUUUAACUUUAACAAAAGUGCCCAUGAUUCUGUACUCUAUAUACGUUGUUUGCUAUCUUAUACUACACUUUCGAUGAUUCACAGAUAGAUUACCUUUAUCACGAUCG
rnacentral:misc_RNA from 1 species